rnacentral:lncRNA from 1 species
GAACAGCUGCAGGUGCUUGAGACGGGCACCUGUGCCUAUUUGCUUAGCAAAUCUCCCCAUCACUCGGCCAGCAGGCAUCAGCCCCUCCCCGUGCGCUGUGGCAGAGCCAGUGUCUGAAUCUCGGGAGGUCUCGAUGGGCCAUCUGGGCUGCAGAAGGAAACUCAGGUCUGUGGCUCAGAGUCGGCUGCGACCUUUACUAGGGCCGGGGUCAAGUUUAGUUGUUCUUGCUGCCUCACUCCUCCUGGAGUUACUGUUGGGGUCCUCUGAGCCAGCAGCUUCCCAUCCUUCCUGGAUCCGAAGCUCCCAGAAGGCGGGUGCUGCGGCAGGGCUGUGGUGGGGCCGCGGCGAGCACGCAGGCGCCCAGGCGGAACCGCAGGCCGGUGGCUGGGCGGAGGCUGGAGUGGGCCCCUCCAGGGCCCACUUUUUUGGGGGAAGCUCGGGAGACCGGGGGAGGGGGGGGAUGAAGCGCUCCGCCCCUUGCCCCUGGAUAGCCGGGCUCUGGUUACAGCGCCAGGUGCGCACCCGGAGCGACACCUGUGGCCGGGCUAGUUUAAUAAACACAGAUGUCCUCCAGGAGGGGGCUACGCCCAGGCAUGCCGGUGCCGCCAGAUGGGGAGGGGUCCCCCCAAGGCCGCCCCUCACCGCCCUCACCCCGUCUCCACCUCGCAGGCUGCAGAGCCCAGAAGAGGCGGGAAGCGCGGGCCGCGCGCCAUGGCCCGCCCCGGGCGCGCGGGCGAAGGCGCCGCGUCCCACAGGCCGGGGCGAGGCCGAGCUCGCCCUCGCUCGGCGUCGGCGGCUGCACGUGGGGCGGCGAGUUUCGCUGGGCGGCGGGGCGGGCCGAGAGAGCCCCGGAGGCCGGGGCGGGCCUGGUGGCGGGCUCGGGGUGGGGCCGCGGCGGGUGGGCGGGCGCUGGGCGCUGGCCCCGCCCGCUCCGACGGCGUGGAGAGGCUGGGCAGUCCGGCUGCACCCUCGGAAGCUCCCGGUCUAUCGAACCUUACCUGUCCGGUGUCCCGGCCCUCGGGCUCCCGGGGGGGUUCCCUGGUCCAUCUGA